rnacentral:rRNA from 1 species
UACAGAGGGGGCAAGCGUUGUUCGGAAUUACUGGGCGUAAAGGGCGCGUAGGCGGCCCGCUAAGUCGAACGUGAAAUCCCCGGGCUCAACCCGGGAACUGCGUCCGAUACUGGCAGGCUUGAAUCCGGGAGAGGGAUGCGGAAUUCCAGGUGUAGCGGUGAAAUGCGUAGAUAUCUGGAGGAACACCGGUGGCGAAGGCGGCAUCCUGGACCGGUAUUGACGCUGAGGCGCGAAAGCUAGGGGAGCAAACGGG